UUCUCCUAUAAAAAUACCCAAAAAAUGUUCUAAGUAGAAAUCCAUAUUCCAUCAAGUAAGUUGAGUUUAUAGCAAAGGUUUGAACUGGAGGUAUAAAUGGGGAAUACAUCAACCCACGCACACAGGGACCAAUGGGACUCCAGGAGAGCACAAGGCAGCAAGGGCUGAAUAGUACUGCUGCCUCCAUUCGGAGACGCGACAGAAAGUGAGGUGGGGUGGGGGAGAGCCCGGGGACAGCCAUGUCCAUGGGUCCAAGUGUUUCAAAAGAAUGGAGUGGUUGAGUGCAACAAAUGCUGCUUGGGGGUUGCAGAAGGACGGACAAAAGUAUCCAUUGGAUUUGGCAAUAGGAAGGCUGUUGGUGGCCUUUGAAAAAUCAGUGUAGGGAGGAAGCCAAAUGAUACUGUGUGGAGGAGUAAAUGGGAGGUGACAAGUGAAACAGUACAGUUGAUUCAAGGAUUUUGGCUAUGAAGUGGAGAAAUGGGCCAGGGUAGAGUUUUGUUUUGAAGAUGAGAGACACUAGAGUACGUUCGUAAGGGGAUGACUUCGGAGAAAGGGCAACUGCAGAGCAAGGCCCACUGGAAGGCAGGAUGAACUCCAAAGCACCAGGGGCAGGAGUGAUUUUGAAAGAAAAAACACAUCGAGCCUUUAUUUCAAGAUAUUUCAAGCGGAUGCAAGAUAUUUGAGGAUUUGGGUAGAAGAUCUACAUAUUCUUAUUUCUGAAUGGUGUUUUUAAAAAGCAGAAAUGGACGUUGACCAGUAAGGUGGUUUUACAAUACGUCCACAAAUAAUUUGACACUCUUUUCUCAAGGAGCUAAAGCUUAGUCCCCCUCCCACUGAGUUGGGGCUAGACUUAGUGAAUUGCUUCUAACAGAAUAAGGUGGAAGUGACCUUUUUAAAAUAUAUUUUUAUUGAUUUCAAAGAAGAAGGGAGAGGAAGAGAAGAGAGAGAAACAUCAAUGGUGAGAGAGAAUCAUCGAUUGGCUGCCUCCCACAUGGGUCCCAACAGAGGUUGAACCCCCCAACCUGCUUAUGUGCCCUGACUGGGAAUCUAACUGCCCGCCUUUUGGAGUAGGGGACAACGCUCCAACCACCUGAGCCACCCAGCCAGGCCCGAGUCCUCUUAAAGAUGGAGGCAGGUGGAGCUACAGGAGCCCAGGAGCCAAGUCCCAGAGCGGGAAUUUGAGCUUUGUUGCCUGUCAUUUCCUUUAUCUCUUUGGCCCUUAGAUAGAAGCAGAAGAGACAGAAGGUGAGCCCUGGGGCGGGGUGGGUUGCUCUAGUGUUGAAGUUCUGAGAGGGUCCAUUCCAGUUCCCAGGCUCCAGUGGUACAAAUAAAUAGCUACAUAACUGAUCACCCAAACCCAUCCACUUCUGAGGGUAAGAAGGUGCUAGAAACAAUUAAGCCGGACAACAGGCAUACGCCAAGACUGUCCCAAAUGGUCACUCUGUCUCUGAGGCCACAGGGGAAAGCGGAGGCUGCAUAUCAACCAAGAACCUCAAUGGCAGACUAAACUCCACUGACCUGGGGAAGAGAGAAACGUUCACUUGCACAGGGUUACGUAGUCAAUAAAUAUCUUGUUAGCCAGUCCUUCACUUAGUCACUCAACUAUCAGUUACUGCAAGCCUAUCACAAAGCUAGGAGAAACAUGUGCUACAAGCAGUGAGCAAGAGGAGGACUUCCCCCAGGUGAGUGUGAUGCACAAGGAGGGGCAGUGGCAGCUGCUGGGGACCUGUGGGGGGACCACUUCCAGCUGUGCCUUCACAGAGGCCUCAACUGCUGAGAGCGACUUCACCUAAGGUCACACCCUUCCCGGGCACUCAGAUCCCUCCCUCAACUGGACAGGGAGGGUAUAGAGGCCUGGCCACCUGGCUCAGUGUGGGACAAUCGUGAUGUGGGCCACUUUAGCCCUCAAGCUGCUGGUUUCAUUACCUGCAUCACAGCUUGGCUUCUGCUUCGGGUCAAUCCCGCUUUCGUUCCUCCCCUCCACAGCGGUAGCUGCCUAGGUACUUCCUUAUAAACAUUCUGCCCCUCAACUCAGUCUCAGCAUCCCCUUUCCAAUUUACAACAGCGGGGAGAGGGGAGAGGCCAGGACCUGAAGGCAGGAGGGGUGGAGGAUCCACAUUAUAUCCGUUUAGAAAGUGAAAAAGGACUAUCACGCCUGUAACAUAAUUGGCAGAGUCUGCAAACCCCACCAAAGCCUUGUGGCUAGGAGGGCGAAGGCCCCCAAACUGCUGUUAGAAAGGCUCAUCCUACUCUUACCAGCUGCGUGGCUGCGGGCCACUUUGACCCUCAGUUUCCUUGUCUGUGAAAAGACAUUUUCUAAUUCACAUUCUAAGAAAUUAGUUGAGAAAAAGCACGUUUUACAUUUUAAGAUGCUGUACAGACAUUACUGCUCCUUUCAACUGCUUUUUGAUUCUGAAGAGUUGCCAUUAACGCCUAACUGCUGGCAACUCAAUCAGAAUGUCAAGAGAAAGCGAUGCCAGCCACUGGUGGCCAGUAAUUACUGUUCUCUUUUCCUGUUUUUCUCAACUCAGUGACAUGGGGCUGAGAUAGAGCGUAUGUGUUUUACGAGUACACUGCAGAGUUAUGGUCCAUGCUCUUAAUUUAAAGACUGGGUACAUGAAACCCAUCAUUAACCUACUUUUUAUUUGUACGUAGGUGAUACUCUUGUGAGGCUGGGACUCAAUAAAAAUAAAAAAGAAAAAAGAAAGUUUCCACGCUUGCCAUAGGAAGCCAUCGUAAACCUGAGCUGGGGUCGAAUCACAACGAGAAAUCCAGUGACUUGUUCUGAACUGGCCCCUGCUGGAAAGGCCGGCCCCCACGGGAAGACCCCCAUCUCACCCUCCACACGGAUCCACAGCCUCAGCGUGGGCCCCUCGGCCAGAACCGGGUUCUCCUGUGUCUAAAAUCCCAUGGCCCCGCGUUUCCUCUCAUGACACUUAUCCCAUUCUAUCUAAAACUACAACUAUCGGGAUCAUUUCUUUCCUGCUGGGCUGUGAAGGUAUGACGCGUGCCCCCAGCUGCUAGAUCCCCUUUGCCACUGAUGUAAGCCCGUGGGAAGGCUUGCCGAGUUGAUGAAGGCAGUGGGGAGGGGAAGAACGGAGCCAGGCUUUUCUCUUCCUGCUACCUCUCCGAAGCUCUGCUCACCGGCAACCUGCUUUCUAAGUCUGUACUGGGCCCUGAAUACCGUGAUGGCGAGGCUGACACUGAAAACACUCUUUGUGCACAGUCCCCGCUGGCUUCGCUGGCCCUUUCAUUUCCUCAUCUGGGGGAGGGAGGACUGAGACCUGCUUUGGCAUUUAGGUCGGAGGAACCUUCAACGACCAAGAGCGGUGUGGUGCCUCUGAGAAAGAUGACAUCGAGGGACAGGGGUGAAGGCCAGAGAAUUCCGAGACUGGUCUCUAGGCUGGAGGCAAGCUGGAGUCAUCGGGUCUCAGAGACUCGAGGAGCCAGAGAAAGAGAGAGGUGUCCUGUUUGGCUUGGGUGGUUUUUAAUGGCAGUUUAUAAUAAUAAUUAUAGCUCAGAUUUAUGGAGUGCUCACUCAGGGCCAGGCACCACAUACAUGAUCUCAAUUAAGUUGCUCAGCAUUCUUACAGGAGGAAACUGAGGCACAGAGAGCUCCAGCAACUUGCCUUGAAGUCACACAGCUGGCACGCAAUAGAAUCAGGAUUUGGUUGCAGGCAUUUCUGCUUCAGAGCCAUUUCUCAGGCGCUAUCUUGCUAUUUGCUUGCGCCUCUAGAACCAUGGGUGUCUCCCAGAAGCUGUCCCCUGAAAACUGGGGGCUCCUGUGCUGGCUGGCUUCAGGUGGGGUUUGAGGGAGGAGGCUGGAGGGCAAGCAAAGGGGAGGCCAAGGCAUUUCUUUUCCAAUCUCCUCCUCACCUCACUGAGCUCCCCUAACUCUCUUUCCACCCCUGCCUGCUGGUAGUCUCUGGGUACCCCCACCCCUGCCUGCUCCUGCAAGAAGUCAUUCAUGAAGUCCCUUCAGGGAGCCAUCUAGGGCGAAUGCUGCUUCCCGCCGGAACCACCACUACUCACACGGCUCCCACCUGCUUCACACCGUGUCACACACAGGAGACCGGCAGUGGUGGGAAGAGCUGGCUCCACGCGAAUAAAUGAAGCUGCUGUCUGAUCACGUUAUCAUGCAGGACAGCUGGCCACAACACAAGUUUGUAACAAUGAAAUUGGGGGUCACCACAACAUGAGGAACUGUAUUAAAGGGUCGCGGCAUUAGGAAGGUUGAGAACCACUGCUUUAAAGAGAUCAUCUUCGAUAAUCUGAGUGAGCCUCACCCAAGCAGUUGACAGGCCUUCGGAGCAAAACUGAGGGAGGUUUCCCUGAGGAAGAGGAAAUCCUGCCUCAAGCCUGCUGAAUUCCAACUACCUUAGAGUUCGGACUUGCCAGCCUCUACAACCGUGGCAGCCACUGCCUUGAAAUUAAUCAGGUGCUCAUGAGCAUAUACCACAUCCUGCUGCCAAUGACCCUGCUUCCAGAAACAGCUUAGUUUUCAACAGGUAGAGCCUCUUGCUAAGCAAGCUGAGCACCCAAUUGUGGGCAGGAAAAGGGAGCCAGUGGCUGUGUAACAAAACGGACUGGAACCCUGGAGACCACACGUGGAAGUUAUCAGUGUGACUGUAUUUGGAAUCUGAAGCCUUGUGGAUGUCAUUAGUAAAGACGAACAGGGCGGGACCCUAAUCCGACACGACACUGGUGACCUUAUGGAAAGGAAACUGGGAUACUGACACGCACAAGGAGAACGCCAUCGGAAGAUGAAAGCAGAGAUUGGGGCGAGGGUUGCCAGAGAUUGCCAGCCAAGUGCCAGAGGCCAGGGCCUGGAACCGCCUCUCCCUCAUGGCCCUCGGAAUGAACCAACCCUGCCAACACCUUCGUCUCCAGAACUGCGAGACGGUACGCUCCUACUCCUUAAGCCACCCAGGUGGCGGCACGAGGACACUCAUGCUGUGACCUAUGCCAUCCCUUCCUAUACCAGGCCAGAGGUGCUUCAGGUGGCAAAGAGAAGAGCCUGCUGUGCGCCUUGGUAGCACUGCGAAGUGUGUAAUCACCGGACAAUUUCUGAAUCCUAGUUGUGCAUUAAAAACUGGCAAGGGUUUGAAAUCCCAUCUACCUGCCACUGCCUAGGCACCGGGGACUCUCUCUGCUUUUGAAAGGAAAAACAAUUUUUCCUUUACCCAUCAAGGACCCUCCUCUUCCCCUUCUUCUUCGAGGCAAGUAUUGAUCAUAUCAGAUUCUUCCCGUGACCCGAAAACACACAGUCCACUGCACGAAGUGAACCAAGAGGUCCUGCGGGCCCCUCACCUAGCAGGGGGUGCCCAUUCCAGGGCAGGAAACCACAUCAAAAGGACCACAGGCCCUCUCGGUCUCCAAGUGGCACCAGCUCCUGGAACAUGGGAGCCGGCUGUGAGCAGUCACCCGUCCUCAGAAUCCCUCCAUCCAGGAAUAGCCAAGAGAAUAGCGCAAAUCAUGUAAAAGCCUUGAAAAGUCAUCUGUGUUUUUUAAAUCCUUAAUCGGCACUGAUCUAAAGACAGCCCAAGACUGAUGGCAGUCCACAACCAUUUGCAUCUGGUCCAGAUGAGUGGCAAGUGCAUUUUCCCAAUUCUGUGGAACCACAGACCUCCAAACCUUCAUGAUUGCCAAGAUGAGUUGGGAAGAAAGCGAACCUGGAUCUGCUUCCUGCAAAAAUGUCAAUAUUUUCUACAACAAACAGGGAGGGGAGGACCCUCACUGGAAUGCCAUCUGUCCUUGUCUGUGGGAGCCGGCCGGAGAAUGUUUUCACAGCCAAGAGAUUACUUGGCAUCACUGACACAGAAAUUCAGCAGGGUGGCUUACAGGCCAGGAGCUGGCUGAUUUAAAGAGAUACUUUGCUAUGUGAAAACUGGAAGCAUAGGAAAGUGUUUCAGUUUUGAAACUGCUAGACUAAAGGACUGUUUACUUAUUCAAAAUGUUUCUCAUAGGAAUCUUUUUUUAAAAAGAUAUUUUUUAUUGAUUUCAGAGAGGAGGAGACAGAGAGGGAGAGAGAAACAUCAAUGAUGAGAGAGAAUCAUUGAUUGGCUGCCUUCUGCACGCCCCCUACUGGGGAUCGAGCCAGCAACCUGGGCAUGUGCCCUUGACCGGAAUCGAACCCAGGACCCUUCAGUCUGCAGGCCAAUGCUCUAUCCACUGUGCCAAAUUGGCUAGGGCUCUCAUAGGAAUCUUUUAGUCAGCAGAAUCGCUUAAUUUAUUUAAAUAUUAGAUUAUUAACAAGUUAUUUUGUUGCUCAGCCUUUUAGGAAGUGAGCAGCUGAUAAAACGAGAUACGGUUCCUCUUAUAUAGUUUCAUUAUUUCAGUUUCAUUAUACUAUGCUGUUUCUUAAGCAAAUAAACACCCUUCUUUUUAAAAAAAAAAAUAUUUUAUUGAUUUUUUACAGAGAGGCAGGGAGAGGAAUAGAGAGUUAGAAACAUCGAUGAGAGAGAAACAUCAAUCAGCUGCCUCCUGCAUACCCCCUACUGGGGAUGUGCCUGCAGCCAAGGUACAUGCCCUUGACUGGAAUCAAACCUGGGACCCUUUAGUCCUAAACGCCCUUCUAUUACAUAUGGAAACUCAGUUCUGUUGCAGUUUGAGGUUCAACACACAAAGCCCAGCUUCUGACAUAUGUAUGGUCAGUUGCCUAAACUGAGUUCCAAAGAAGGGUCUUAGCUGCCUGGUUUCCUGUGGAGGAAACCCAGACCACUUUGAACAGCAACCCGAAGAGGAAUUCACCAGGUCAUCUUGGGUGGGAGUGAAAUUCUUUCAACUUCAUUUGGCAGCUUUCAGGGCCCAGCUCCCUUCCUGGGGGGUGUUGCUCUGUGGGAUGUUUGCCACUCAAUGUCUAAUCCAUCUGUGUGGGUCCAGCUCUUCCUGAAAACAUACUCAUUUGAAAAAAUAAAAAUAGCCCAGCCGGUGUGACUCAGUGGCUUAGUGUUGACCUAUGAACCAGGAGGUCUCGGUUGGAUUCCCGGUCAGGGCACAUGCCCGGGUUGCGGGCUCAGUCU